rnacentral:rRNA from 1 species
UAUCUCUGUAGAGUCUGCAUAUCAAUAAGCGGAGGAAAAGAAACUAACUAGGAUUCCCUCAGUAACGGCGAGUGAAGCGGGAAGAGCUCAAAUUUGAAAUCUUCAAGGUUUUACCUUGACGAAUUGUAGUUUAAAGAAGUGUUUUCUGUUGGAGUUUUGGUAAAAGUUCUUUGGAAUAGGACAUCAUAGAGGGUGAGAAUCCCGUAUUUGACCAUUAUUUCCAGCUUUGUGAUACACUUUCAAAGAGUCGGAUUGUUUGGGAAUGCAGUCCAAAAUGGGUGGUAAAUUUCAUCUAAAGCUAAAUACUGGCGAUGAGACCGAUAGCGAACAAGUACCGUGAGGGAAAGAUGAAAAGAACUUUGAAAAGAGAGUUAAACAGUACGUGAAAUUGUCAAAAGGGAAGCGUUUGACACCAGUGUUGUUUUCUCGAAAAUCAAUUAAAAAGUGUUGGAUUUUGUAUUGUUAAGACCUUAUCAGCUUACUGUACUCUUUUCCUGCUCUUUUUAAUGCACUUUUCGUUUAACAAGUCAACAUCAAUUUCUUUUGUUGUAAAAGAGUCAUUGGAAGGUGGCUUUCACUUCGGUGAAAGUGUUUAUAGCCUUUGGCUUCUGCAAUCGGAGAGAUUGAGGUCUGCAGCGUAGAUCCUUCGGGGUUAGAUACGUAGAUGCUAAGUUAUAGUUUUUUAUAGACAACUUGUUGACUAUAAUUAAUCAUGUAGCUUACUCGUUUGCGCUAUUUUACCUACGCUUAGGAUGUUGAGUCAUCACACAUCUCU